UGCAGCUAACUGGCCUCCUCCUACAGCUAGCUGUCCAAUCAAAUAGCUGUGUGCUAAGUUGUCUCUUUCUCUGCAGUUGGCUUGGAUGUACAGAGGAAAUUCACCCCAUUCUACUCAUGGAGGUUGGGGUCAUACACUUCAUUGCAAUGCCCAUCUGACCAAAAGCCCCUUGGCAAAGUUGAGAUGGAUACAAAGCAGGAUAUCAAGCCACAACUGCAUCAGAUGGAAUCAUGUCAGACCAAAGGUCCUUCUGCCAAUCUCUUCAAGACUGGUUGCAAUCAUCCUUACAAGAACAAAGGUAGACAGGAAAAAUCCAAACAACAAUGCUUGGUAACCCCUGGGACUAAGCGCUCAGCAUUAUCAAUCUAUCUGUCAGAAAUGAAGAUUAAAGAGCAACAGUUAUAUGGUCCAUCAUUGGGGAAACGAUUGAAGACUGCACAAAUGCCUUGCUCUCCAGCAGUAAAUCUGUCACAAUUUUCUUUUGUGUCCAAGAAUCCAUUGCAGCAUCCUCAAAGGCAUGACAUCUCUCCAAGAAUAAGUGAUUCUUUGACCAUCUCUCCAAGAAUAAAUGAUUCCUCAAACAUCUCUGACUUUCCUACUCAGCCACAGGUUCUUCUCAAUGGGCCACCCCAUAACAGCAUGGAACACAGCAGGAAUCAUUUUGAUGCACAAGAAGUGUGCCAAAACCAUUCACUUAACAACAGACCAAUCAGCCUUUCUCCAUCUCUGGACGAGGUCCUUCUCAAUGAGCCGCCCCGUGACAGCAUGCAACACAGCAGGAAUCAUUUUGAUGUGCAAGAAGUGUGCCAAAACCAGUCACUUAACAACAGACCCAUCAGCCUUCCAUCUAUAAACGAGGUAAUGAAAUUUAUAUGUGCAGGUGAAAUACAAAAUCUUAAAGUUAAAAAGACAUACUCUGCCCACCAACCUCCAAUCCAGAUUUACGUCAAAUUUAUAUUCAUACAACACUGAUUGCACUCCUUGCAUUGUCAUAGAAAUGGAUAAGGUUCUGUAACUCAAAUGCUCAUGUAAGAUAUCAUGAAAAUACUCCUAUAGUUUUAUCAUGUUUUUAACACCCUCUGAAACCUUGCUUUACUCAGCU
ensembl:lincRNA